rnacentral:rRNA from 1 species
AGGGUUUGAUCNUGGCUCAGAUUGAACGCUGGCGGAAUGCUUUACACAUGCAAGUCGAACGGCAGCACGGACUUCGGUCUGGUGGCGAGUGGCGAACGGGUGAGUAAUACAUCGGAACGUGCCCAGUCGUGGGGGAUAACGUAGCGAAAGCUACGCUAAUACCGCAUACGAUCUACGGAUGAAAGCGGGGGAUCGCAAGACCUCGCGCGAUUGGAGCGGCCGAUGGCAGAUUAGGUAGUUGGUGGGGUAAAGGCUCACCAAGCCGACGAUCUGUAGCUGGUCUGAGAGGACGACCAGCCACACUGGGACUGAGACACGGCCCAGACUCCUACGGGAGGCAGCAGUGGGGAAUUUUGGACAAUGGGCGCAAGCCUGAUCCAGCCAUUCCGCGUGCAGGAUGAAGGCCCUCGGGUUGUAAACUGCUUUUGUACGGAACGAAAAGGCUCUGGUUAAUACCCGGGGCUCAUGACGGUACCGUAAGAAUAAGCACCGGCUAACUACGUGCCAGCAGCCGCGGUAAUUCA